rnacentral:lncRNA from 1 species
CAAGAUCUCACUACGUGGCUGAAUUGCCCAGGCUGGGCUGGAACAUGCGAUCCGCCUGUCUCAGCCUCCUGGAGUGUUGAGAAUACAGGUGUGCACCGCCACGCGGACCUUAUAUUUUACAUUUUUCAUACUAAGCCUGUGCCACCCAGAGUGUUACACUACCGCCCAUCUCAGUACGCCUGCGCUACACUUCCGGGCUCAGAGCCCACGUGGCUGCCGCGAUGGACCGCGGCGCUGCAGAGCCCCGGAGGCGGCAAGGAGGAGGACGCAGCGAGCAGGUCUCGCUGUGUAAUUCAAGCUGCCUUUGAACUCGCUCUGUAGCCCAGGCUGGGGCAAUGGCAAUACUCCUGCCUCAGUCUCCUGAGAGCUGGAAUCACAGGCCUGCACCAACAGAACCAGCAGCUACUCACCCUUGGACACUGCUGUCAGCAGCAUCUUUCCGAGGUCUCCGUCCCAGUGAGACCCAGACGCCUGGAAGUGACCUGCCAGGAAGCUCAGAUGCGAGUGACAAGAUGCUGGCACUGGUUCCCACCAAAGCCCCAGGAAGGCCACGCUUAGCAGCCCAGCAGCAAACGGAGGGACAGGGGAGACAGACAGUGACAGGUCGCUCCUCCUCAUGGCCACCGGUGUCUGGCUUGUCCCCCAGGGAACCACAGCAGAGCUCAGCUGUCCUGGUCCACAGGGGAGACGUCACCCACGGACCACACACCUCCUGCCACUGGAGGCCCCUGCUGGUGACCGCACAGUCCCCAUCCUCCUGACACCAGAAGCCAACGAGGACUCGGGCAGCUGCCAUCACCAGGCUUGUGCUGACUCCUUCCUAGACGGCAGGGACUCUCCAGGGCAGCAGCUCCCCUGGGGGUAGGGGUCCCUCAGGAAGGUCAGGCCCUCGGAAGACCCCUUCCCCUGGACCCUUCCAGGGCCCUUUCCCUCUCUCUCCCCUUCGAUUCUGUUUUCCUGCUGCCUUGACCUAGGGUUUUAGUGUUUCACUGCUCAGGACGGGGAGCGCUGCCAUUUUUCACACUUUUGCUUUGUUUUGGUCUGCUUUUGUGCCCUUAGCUGAGGUUCCUGUACAAGACAUGCCUUCAGGCUGUCCACACCUUGCUCCUUCCCUGGGGACAGAGGGAGUGGUCAGUCAUGCUUGGGGGUCUGAGCCAGCAUGGCCCCAAGUGCCUCACCACAACUUCACUUCUAAGGCCCCCAAAUGUGGCUGCACCUGACUGGGGCACGGCUUCUCCUCUAGGUGUCAUCCUAACACUCAGCCUGUUUAUUGCCGGGAAGCAAGAGUUGGGGGACAAGAGGAAGCAGCCUCUUGAGCUGGCCUCUGCGCCUGCCUGAACUUUCUUUCCGUUCCUGUGGCCGGCAGCACUAUCCCUCAGCCCUGGCCCCUUCCAUUUACAUUUUGUUUUUUGGUUCAGACCCCGUUCAACCCGGGUUCCAGUCCUGUGACUUGGUCAUCAACUGAACUGGUCACUCAGUGAAGAAUUCUAUGUAGUCUGUACAUUACAAUAUUCAGAACAAAGACAUGGUCAAAGGAAGCUCCAGCUUGAUGACUUCGCUUUUAUUUGCAUAACUCUUCCAUGCGGUACUGUAAUGUAUAACAGAACAUAAAGCUACAGCACUGUACUGUGCAGUACUAUCAGCAAAAAUUACAGCACUGAAUAAACAGGGUGUACUGUACAAUAAAAAGACAUUGAAGUUCUAUAAACAAGAUGUACAGAACUGUACAAAAAAAAAAGAUGGCUCAUAAAUCUGAGCAGAGGAUCUUAUGCCUCGGCCAUAAAUCUGAAGAGUAAACAGAUCGGUCAUUUAACAAGGAACAUCAUAGGGGCUGGAGAUUUAGCUCAGUGGUUCUGCCACCUGCCUUGAAAGCGCAAGGUCCUGAGUUUGAUCCCCGGUACCAAAAAAAAAAACAACAAAAAAACAAGGAAUGUCACACUGGAGCUCGAACCUCAGGCCUUUGCACUGAGCCACAUCUCAGGCCUUUUGGUCUGAGUCUACAUGGGUAUGAUUCUAAGUGUGUGUUUGAAUAUGGAUACACAUGUGACUGUAUCUCUCUGCAUGUGUGUAUAUGUGUUUCUAUAUCCGUCUGCAAGUGUGUGUGUGUGCAUGUACAUGUAGUUCUGUAUGUGUGUGUUUA